GACGUAGGGCGCGAGCGUUGUCCGGAUUUAUUGGGCGUAAAGAGCUCGUAGGCGGCUUGUCGCGUCGAAUGUGAAAACUCGGGGCUCAACUCCGAGCUUGCUACUCGAUACGGGCAGGCUAGAGUUCGGUAGGGGAGACUGGAAUUCCUGGUGAGCGGUGAAAUGCGCGAUAUCAGGAGGAACACCGGUGGCGAAGGCGGGUCUCUGGGCCGAUACUGACGCUGAGGAGCGAAAGCGUGGGGAGCGAACAGG
rnacentral:rRNA from 1 species